GACCGCGUAGCUCAGUUGGCAGAGCAUUGGGCUAGUAUUCCAAAGGUCGUAGGUUCGAAUCCCACCGCGGCCA
rnacentral:tRNA from 1 species